rnacentral:ncRNA from 2 species
AAAAUCCACUAGGGGAGCCUUUUUGGCUGAGACAAGAUUAUUUGGACCCUUUGAACCUGAUCUAGUUCAUACUAGCGUAGGAAAGUGGAGUCGGCCCAUU